AUUGAACGCUGGCGGCAUGCUUUACACAUGCAAGUCGAACGGCAGCGCGGGCUUCGGCCUGGCGGCGAGUGGCGAACGGGUGAGUAAUGCAUCGGAACGUGCCCAGUAGUGGGGGAUAGCCCGGCGAAAGCCGGAUUAAUACCGCAUCCGACCUGAGGGUGAAAGCGGGGGACCGAAAGGCCUCGCGCUAUUGGAGCGGCCGAUGUCGGAUUAGCUCGUUGGUGGGGUAAAGGCUUACCAAGGCGACGAUCCGUAGCUGGUCUGAGAGGCCGACCAGCCACACGGGGACUGAGACACGUCCCAGACUCCGACGGAAGGCAGCAGUGGGGAAUUUUGGACAAUGGGGGCAACCCUGAUCCAGCCAUGCCGCGUGCGGGAAGAAGGCCUUCGGGUUGUAAACCGCUUUUGUUCGGGAAGAAAUCCUCUGGGCUAAUACCCCGGGGGGAUGACGGUACCGGAAGAAUAAGCACCGGCUAACUACGUG
rnacentral:rRNA from 1 species